GACGAACGCUGGCGGCGUGGAUUAGGCAUGCAAGUCGAACGGUAUCAUCCUUUCGGGGGUGAGAGAGUGGCGAACUGGUGAGUAACACGUAGGUUAUCUACCCUCAAGACGGGGACAACCCAGGGAAACUUGGGCUAAUACCGGAUGUGAGCAACUUUUAGUUGUUUGAAAGGUGGCGUAAGCUGUCGCUUGGGGAUGAGCCUGCGUCCUAUCAGCUAGUUGGUGAGGCAACGGCUCACCAAGGCGACGACGGGUAGCCGGCCUGAGAGGGUGUCCGGCCACACUGGAACUGAGACACGGUCCAGACUCCUACGGGAGGCAGCAGUGGGGAAUUUUGGGCAAUGGGGAGACCCUGACCCAGCGACGCCGCGUGAGGGACGAAGGCCCUUGGGUCGUAAACCUCUUUUGCAGGGGAAGAAGAAGAUGACGGUACCUUGCGAACAAGUCCCGGCUAACUACGUG
rnacentral:rRNA from 1 species